AUGGCUCCGCUGGGCGCUCCCUGCGUCGACCACGGGCGCCGGCCGAGGACCAGCCACAAGGUGAUCACCUCCACCCCGAAGAUGGAGCAACAGAUUUUCCUGCUGCAGCAGCACGCGGUGGUGGUCACCGCGGUGAGCAAGUUGCACGCGGCCAGUCCCCUCUCCAUCGGUCGAGCCAUCGAGCGGGAAUUCCAGAUCCCUGCGUACCUCCUCCGCAUCACCAGCCAUGAUCCGGAGGACUCCUUCAUCCACUUCACCAUGCCGGCCCACAAGGACCUCGUCGUUCGGCGGGGCUCGAUCGUGGUGGAUGGCGUCUCCUUCUUGCUGGAGCCAUGGAGGGAGGACACGCACGCCAUCCACGACACCUGGAUGCUGCAUGUUCGCGUCGUCAUGGAGAAGCUGCUGAUGCAGCUCUGGACCCUGGAGGGCGCGAAGGACGCGCUGGGCGACGUGGUCAUCAUCGACCGCCUCGACAACCGUACAUUCGAGUGCGCGGGCACGAAGCUGUUCGCCGUCUGGGUGUGGGUGUGGCAGUUGCACCACAUCCCCACCAUGCGAACCCUGUGGAAGCACGCUAGAGGUGCCGGCCGGGUGGAGGAGAUGGGCCGUCGUGCCGCCACCGAACCUGCUGCGCUAGGAUGUGCUGGUGCACAUUGA
rnacentral:rRNA from 1 species